AUGUGUUCAGAAGAGGAGCAAAAUAAAUUCUGACAACAGGGGAAAGUUAGAAGUGAACCACAUAGCUGGUUUAAAGUCAUUUCUAGAAAUUCGUCAUGACAUGUGAGAUUCCGUUACUAGCCAGGAGCCCGAACCAGUGGACCUCUACAGAGGGACUCACUGUCGACAGGCGACGGGAUCUUAGGCAGCGAUGGACACCUUACGCAAUCUGCCCACUCCCGAUGGUACUUAGCAGAGUGAGCCAGAGAUCCUGAGUGAGGUGCUUGGCGCCCAUUCUGGAUAUGUGCGUGGGCUUGGCUAUGGUGACAAGCUCAUGACACCCGCUAGAGCUGCCUCCACCCGAUCCAUCGUCGUUGGCGAGAGCGCCACCCGCCGAGCUGAUAUUGCAGAGAGAGAAGUUCAGCAGCUAUAGGUCGUCGUUCAUGACAUCAGAGAGCAGCUAGAGAGGAAGAGUGAGCAGCUGGAGAGGCAGAUGGUGGAACAGGAAAGGAGGAUGGAGGA